GCCCCGGUAGCUCAGCUGGAUAGAGCGACUCCCUCCUAAGGAGUAGGUCGCAGGUUCGACUCCUGCCCGGGGCA
rnacentral:tRNA from 1 species